UAAGUAAUACAAAGCAUAUCAUAGGAAAACUACUGAAAAGCAAAGAAAAUAAGAACAUCUUAAAAAUAGCCAGAGAUGAGAGAUUCAUUUGCUAGAGAGGAGCAAUAAUUAGACUAAUAUCUGACUUCUCAAUAAAACACAAAGGGAGCCAGAAAUUAAUGUAAUAUUAUUUUCAGCAUGCUAAGAUAAUGAAAGUGAGGACCUAGACUUCUAUACUCAAUGAAAAUACCCAUCACAAUGGAAGGCAAAUGCUUUUUUUUAGACAGGGAAUAACUGGAAUAAUUUGUCACCAUACAAGAAAAUGAAUAAGGGUAUUUUUUAGGGAGAAGAUAAACUAUUACAAAGUGAUAGAAACACUAAUUAUGAUGUUGGAAGUCAGGAUAGAGGUUGUGUUUAGGGAUGAGAGAUGGAGUAAUUUUGGGAGUGGCCUAAGGAGUCUUCUGAGGUGCUGGUGAUAUGCUACUUAUUGACAUGGAUUUUAUAACACAGGGAAUGAAAUACAAAACAAAGCAAUUAAUAUCAUGGUAGCUGUGAUGAAUCAAAUGUUAAAUAAGGAACAAGAAGGUCUCCAGGAAGAAGGAACAACUGUAUGAUAUUCAUCAUCAAGUAUGGAAGAAAAGAAGAAUGAAGGGCCCUGGAGUCUAUCAUGCCUGAAGGCCAACAUUUCUAAACCCCUUCCUUAUUGUCCAUUUUUCCUAUAUCUGCCUCAAGAUUCUGUAAUUCUUUAAGAUCGUUUUUUGAGACAAUAGUUUGCCAUCUUCUGUUUAUUCUGUCUAAUCAAAUAAAUACUUCCUUUCUCAA
rnacentral:lncRNA from 1 species